CCCCCUGAAUUUAAGCAUAUUAAUUAGGGGAGGAAAAGAAACUAACAAGGAUUUUCUUAGUAGCGGCGAGCGAAAAGAAAAUAGUUCACUAGGUCACUUUGUCUUUAUGGCAAAUGUGAGAUGCAGUGUAUGGAGCUUCAAUAUUCUAGUAUGAGAAAUUAACGAUUUAAGCCCUUCUUAAAUGAGGCCAUUUACCCAUAGAGGGUGCCAGGCCCGUAUAACGUUAAUGAUUACUAGAUGGUGUUUUUAAAGAGUCGUGUUGCUUGAUAGUGCAGCACUAAGUGGGUGGUAAACUCCAUCUAAAACUAAAUAUAACCAUGAAACCGAUAGUAAACAAGUACCGUGAGGGAAAGUUAAAAAAAAAUCUAAAUAGAGAGUUAAAUAGUACGUGAAACUGCUUAGAGGUUAAGCCCGAUGAACCUGAAUAUCCAUUAUGGAAAAUUCAUCAUUAGAGUUUUAAUAUUUUAAUAAUAUUAAAAUAAUAGUGUGCAUUUUUUCCAUAUAAGGACAUUGUAAUCUAUUAACAUAAACCAAAUUUAUUAUAAAAUAUGACUUAUAGUUUAUUUAAAUUAUUUUGCUUGCAUUUUAACAUAGAAUAAAUGUCAUUAAUUUGAUAAAUUGUUGAUAGAUUUAUAUGAAUACAGUGCGUUAAUUUUUCGGAAAUUUAUAAUAGCAUGAUUAUUAUUGAUUUUCUGUGUUUAUUAUAUGCACUUGUAUGAUUAACAAUGCGAAAGAGUCAGGAUACCUUCGGGACCCGUCUUGAAACACGGACCAAGGAGUCUAACAUAUGUGCAAGUUAUUGGGAUAUAAACCUAAUAGCAUAAUUAACUUGACUAAUAAUGGGAUUAGUUUUUUAACUAUGUAUAGAUAAUUAACACAAUCCCGGGGCGUUCUAUAUAGUUAUGUAUAAUGAUAUUUAUAUUAUUUAUACCUCUAACUGGAACGUACCUUGAGCAUAUAUGCUGUGACCCGAAAGAUGGUGAACUAUACUUGAUCAGGUUGAAGUCAGGGGAAACCCUGAUGGAAGACCGAAACAGUUCUGACGUGCAAAUCGAUUGGCAGAAUUGAGUAUAGGGGCAAAAGACCAAUCGAACCAUCCAGUAGCCAACUUCCUUCCGAAGUUUUCCUCAGGAUAGCUGGUGCAUUUAAAUGUUAUAUAAAAUAAUCUUAUCUGGUAAAGCGAAUGAUUAGAGGCCUUAGGGUCGAAACAAUCUUAACCUAUUCUCAUACUUUAAAUGGGUAAGACCUUAACUUUCUUGAUAUGAAGUUUAAGGUUAUGAUAUAUUGUGCCCAGUGGGCCACUUUUGGUAAGCAGAACUGGCGCUGUAAGAUGAACCAAACGUAAUGUUACGGUGCCCAAAUUAACAACUCAUACAGAAACCAUAUAAGGCGUUGGUUGCUUAAAACAGCAGGACGGUGAUCAUGGAAGUCGAAAUCCGCUAAGGAGUGUGUAACAACUCACCUGCCGAAGCAACUAGCCCUUAAAAUGGAAGGCGCUUAAGUUGUAUACCUAUAAAUUACCGCUAAAGUGGAUGAUUUAUAUUAUUUAUAAUAUAAAUUUUGAAACUUUAGUGAGUAGGAAGGUACAAUGGUGUGCUUAGAAGUGUUUGGCGUAAGCCUGCAUGGAGCCGGUAUUGGUACAGAUCUUGGUGGUAGUAGCAAAUAAUCGAAUGAGACCUUGGAGGAAUGAAGUGGAGAAGGGUUUAGUGUGAACAGUGGUUGAUCACGAGUUAGUCGGUCCUAAGUUCAAGGCGAAAGUCGAAAAUUUUCAAGUUUUAAAAAUGUCAAAUGAAAUAAUAAAUAAUAAAACGCUUGAAUAAUUUUGAACGAAAGGGAAUACGGUUCCAAUUCCGUAACCUGUUGAGUAUCCGUUUGUUAUUAAAUAUGGGCCUCGUGCUAAUCCUGGCAACAGGAACGACCAUAAAGAAGCCGUCGAGAGGUAUCGGAAGAGUUUUCUUUUCUGUUUUAUAGCCGUACUACCAUGGAAGUCUUUCGCAGAGAGAUAUGGUAGAUGGGCUAGAAGAGCAUGACAUAUACUGUUGUGUCGAUAUUUUCUCCUCGGACCUUGAAAAUUUAUGGUGGGGAUACGCAAACUUCUCAACAGGCCGUACCAAUAUCCGCAGCUGGUCUCCAAGGUGAAGAGUCUGUAGUC
rfam:Drosophila willistoni strain TSC#14030-0811.24 scf2_1100000004617 genomic scaffold, whole genome shotgun sequence.